UACCCGCUGACGAGCGGCCGGACGGGGUGAGUAAUGCAUAGGAAUCUGCCCGAUAUGUGGGGAUAACCUGGGGAAACCCAGGCUAAUACCGCAUACGGUCCUACGGGAGAAAGGGGGCUUCAKUUCUCGCUAUUGGAUGAGCCUAUGUCGGACUUAGCUAGUUGGUGAGGUAAUGGCUCACCAAGGCAACGACUCCGUAGCUGGUCUGAGAGGAUGAUCAGCCACACUCGGGACUGAGACACGGCCCGAACCUCUACGGGAGGCACGCAGUGGGGAAUAUUGGACAAUGGGCGAAAGCCUGACUCCAGCCAUGCCGCGUGUGUGAAGAAGGCCCUCGGGUUGUAAAGCACUUUCAGCGAGGAAGAACGCCUAGUGGUUAAUACCCAUUAGGAAAGACAUCACUCGCAGAAGAAGCACCGGCUAACUCCGUGCCAGCAGCCGCGGUAAUACGGAGGGUGCAAGCGUUAAUCGGAAUUACUGGGCGUAAAGCGCGCGUAGGUGGCUUGAUAAGCCGGUUGUGAAAGCCCCGGGCUCAACCUGGGAACGGCAUCCGGAACUGUCAAGCUAGAGUGCAGGAGAGGAAGGUAGAAUUCCCGGUGUAGCGGUGAAAUNAGUAGAGAUCGGGAGGAAUACCAGUGGCGAA
rnacentral:rRNA from 1 species